UCUCUCUCUCUAUACAUACGCCAUUGUUAUUACAAUCGAAGCUUCAAGUUCUGUUUCUCUGUUUUACUUUUGUUGUUGAAGAAGAAGAAGAGAGGAUGGAGAAAAACACACCGGUGAGGAAACUGAACAUGUCGACGGCGGAUCUAUUAACUUGGCCGGAGAAUCAACCGUUUGAUUCUUCCGCCGCCGUUUUUUCUUCUCGCUCCGCCGUUAGAUCGCACCAGGUACUUGAUUACGCGAUCUUAGCCGUCGGAUUGAUUUUAUUUUACAAAUCAC
rnacentral:lncRNA from 1 species